UGGGGAAUUUUGCACAAUGGGGGAAACCCUGAUGCAGCGACGCCGCGUGAUUUAGAAGGCCUUCGGGUUGUAAAAAUCUUUUUUACGGGAUGAAAAUGACAGUACCGUAAGAAUAAUGUCCGGCUAAAUACGUGCCAGCAGCCGCGGUAAUACGUAUGGACCGAGCGUUGUCCGGAAUCAUUGGGCGUAAAGGGUACGUAGGCGGCCUAGUAAGUUAGAAGUGAAAUAAUAUAGCUCAACUAUAUAAAGCUUUUAAAACUGCUAGGCUUGAGAGAUGGAAGGGAAAGUGGAAUUCCUAGUGUAGCGGUGAAAUGCGCAGAUAUUAGGAAGAAUACCGGUGGCGAAGGCGACUUUCUGGUCAUCAUCUGACGCUGAGGUACGAAAGCGUGGGUAGCAAACAGG
rnacentral:rRNA from 1 species